rnacentral:rRNA from 1 species
GACGAACCGUGCGAACGUUAUUCGGAAUCACUGGGCGUAAAGGGCGCGUAGGCGGCCAUUCAAGUCGGAGGUGAAAUCCCUCAGCUUAACUGGGGAACUGCGUCUGAUACUGGAUGGCUUGGAUUCGGGAGAGGGAUGCGGAAUUCCAGGUGUAGCGGUGAAAUGCGUAGAUAUCUGGAGGAACACCGGUGGCGAAGGCGGCAUCCUGGGCCGGUAUUGACGCUGAGGAGCGAAAGCCAGGGGAGCAACGGG